rnacentral:tRNA from 2 species
AUUUUUUUAGUAUAAUAGUACAAAUGAUUUCCACUCAUUUAGUUCUGGUUUAACCCCAGGAAAAAAUA